UUAAUCAUCUAUUCCACAUUUAUCGCAGUUAAUGAUUUUGGUUGUUGUAUUUUUUUCAUGUGAUUCCUUACAUCCGUUAUAACAAUCUGAAUCCCACCAUUCGUCAAGCAACAGAGUUAUAGAUAUUUAUUUCUGAACCGAGUCUGUCCUCCAUAGUUUUUUCUGAUUUUUCUAUUUGAAAUUGAGGUUUUGUUUUGAUCAAAGUUGGGUUAUGCAGAUCCGACCAUAAAUCUUGAAGGUAUGUUGUUUUACUCUGUUGUUUAUGUAGUAUACAUCUUUAAUCUAAGAGAUUGAACAUGUUUAUUUUUUUCUUAAACCAAAAUCUACAUCAGAUGUUUUUUGUUGAUUUUUGUUAUGUAUAAAAUCAAGUUUCCGGGUUUUUCUUAAUCAUCUAUUCCACAUUUAUCGCAGUUAAUGAUUUUGGUUGUUGUAUUUUUUUCAUGUGAUUCCUUACAUCCGUUAUAACAAUCUGAAUCCCACCAUUCGUCAAGCAACAGAGUUUUCUAUUUGAAAUUGAGGUUUUGUUUUGAUCAAAGUUGGGUUAUGCAGAUCCGACCAUAAAUCUUGAAGGUAUGUUGUUUUACUCUGUUGUUUAUGUAGUAUACAUCUUUAAUCUAAGAGAUUGAACAUGUUUAUUUUUUUCUUAAACCAAAAUCUACAUCAGAUGUUUUUUGUUGAUUUUUGUUAUGUAUAAAAUCAAGUUUCCGGGUUUUUCUUAAUCAUCUAUUCCACAUUUAUCGCAGUUAAUGAUUUUGGUUGUUGUAUUUUUUUCAUGUGAUUCCUUACAUCCGUUAUAACAAUCUGAAUCCCACCAUUCGUCAAGCAACAGAGUUUUCUAUUUGAAAUUGAGGUUUUGUUUUGAUCAAAGUUGGGUUAUGCAGAUCCGACCAUAAAUCUUGAAG